rnacentral:rRNA from 1 species
CCUACGGGAGGCAGCAGUGGGGAAUAUUGCACAAUGGGCGCAAGCCUGAUGCAGCCAUGCCGCGUGUGUGAAGAAGGCCUUCGGGUUGUAAAGCACUUCCAGCGGGGAGGAAGGCGGUGAGGUUAAUAACCUCAUCGAUUGACGUUACCCGCAGAAGAAGCACCGGCUAACUCCGUGCCAGCAGCCGCGGUAAUACGGAGGGUGCAAGCGUUAAUCGGAAUUACUGGGCGUAAAGCGCACGCAGGCGGUCUGUCAAGUCGGAUGUGAAAUCCCCGGGCUCAACCUGGGAACUGCAUUCGAAACUGGCAGGCUAGAGUCUUGUAGAGGGGGGUAGAAGUCCAGGUGUAGCGGUGAAAUGCGUAGAGAUCUGGAGGAAUACCGGUGGCGAAGGCGGCCCCCUGGACAAAGACUGACGCUCAGGUGCGAAAGCGUGGGGAGCAAACAGGAUUAGAUACCCUAGUAGUC